CAGUAGCCACGGGAAUACGUAGGUGCAAGCGUUGUCCGGAAUUAUUGGGCGUAAAGGGCUCGCAGGCGGUUUCUUAAGUCUGAUGUGAAAGCACCCGGCUCAACCAGGGAGGGUCAUUGGAAACUGGGAAACUUGAGUGCAGAAGAGGAGAGUGAAAUUCCACGUGUAGCGGUGAAAUGCGUAGAGAUGUGGAGGAACACCAGUGGCGAAGGCGACUCUCUGGUCUGUAACUGACGCUGAGGAGCGAAAGCGUGGGGAGCGAACAGGAUUAGAUACCCGCGUAGUCCCUGUCUCUUAUACA
rnacentral:rRNA from 1 species